rnacentral:rRNA from 1 species
CAGCCGUAAACUAUGCGCGUUAGGUGUACUGGUGACCACGAGUCACCGGGGUGCCGAAGGGAAACCGUGAAACGUGCCGCCUGGGAAGUACGGUCGCAAGGCUGAAACUUAAAGGAAUUGGCCGGGGGGAGCACCACAACGGGUGGAGCCUGCGGUUUAAUUGGACUCAACGCCGGAAAUCUCACCGGAUAGGACAGACAUAUGAUAGUCGGGCUGAAGACUCUACUUGAUGAUCUGAGAGGAGGUGCAUGGCGUCAGUGACU